rnacentral:rRNA from 1 species
CUUGGUCAUUUAGAGGAAGUAAAAGUCGUAACAAGGUUUCCGUAGGUGAACCUGCGGAAGGAUCAUUACAGUGAUACCAGCCCCCGGGCUGGACUCACCACCCUGUGUAUUAUUACUUGUUGCUUUGGCAGGCCGCGAGACCGCUCUGCGAUCGAGCGCCGGCUCCGGCUGGACAGCGCCUGCCAGAGGACCCAACUCUGUUAUCAGUGAUGUCUGAGUACUAUUUAAUAGUUAAAACUUUCAACAACGGAUCUCUUGGUUCUGGCAUCGAUGAAGAACGCAGCGAAAUGCGAUAAGUAAUGUGAAUUGCAGAAUUCAGUGAAUCAUCGAAUCUUUGAACGCACAUUGCGCCCCUUGGUAUUCCGAGGGGCAUGCCUGUUCGAGCGUCAUUAUAACCCAUCACGCCCAGCGUGGUCUUGGGGCUCGCGUCCAGCGGCCCUUGAAACCAGUGGCGGUGUCCGUUGGGCUCUAAGCGUAGUAAUCUACCCUCGCUUCUGGGCUCUGCGGGCGCCUGCCAUAACCCAACUUUCUCAGGUUGACCUCGGAUCAGGUAGGGAUACCCGCUGAACUUAAGCAUAUCAAUAAGCGGAGGA